CAUGCAAGUCGAGCGGUAACAGGUCCAGCUUGCUGGAUGCUGACGAGCGGCGGACGGGUGAGUAACGCAUAGGAAUCUACCCGGUAGUGGGGGAUAACCUGGGGAAACCCAGGCUAAUACCGCAUACGUCCUACGGGAGAAAGGGGGCUUAGGCUCCCGCUAUUGGAUGAGCCUAUGCCGGAUUAGCUGGUUGGUGAGGUAAUGGCUCACCAAGGCGACGAUCCGUAGCUGGUCUGAGAGGAUGAUCAGCCACAUCGGGACUGAGACACGGCCCGAACUCCUACGGGAGGCAGCAGUGGGGAAUAUUGGACAAUGGGGGCAACCCUGAUCCAGCCAUGCCGCGUGUGUGAAGAAGGCCCUCGGGUUGUAAAGCACUUUCAGCGAGGAAGAACGCCUGUCGGUUAAUACCCGGCAGGAAAGACAUCACUCGCAGAAGAAGCACCGGCUAACUCCGUGCCAGCAGCCGCGGUAAUACGGAGGGUGCAAGCGUUAAUCGGAAUUACUGGGCGUAAAGCGCGCGUAGGUGGCUUGAUAAGCCGGUUGUGAAAGCCCCGGGCUCAACCUGGGAACGGCAUCCGGAACUAUUAGGCUAGAGUGCAGGAGAGGAAGGUAGAAUUCCCGGUGUAGCGGUGAAAUGCGUAGAGAUCGGGAGGAAUACCAGUGGCGAAGGCGGCCUUCUGGACUGACACUGACACUGAGGUGCGAAAGCGUGGGUAGCAAACAGGAUUAGAUACCCUGGUAGUCCACGCCGUAAACGAUGUCGACCAGCCGUUGGGUGCCUAGCGCACUUUGUGGCGAAGUUAACGCGAUAAGUCGACCGCCUGGGGAGUACGGCCGCAAAGUUAAAACUCAAAUGAAUUGACGGGGGCCCGCACAAGCGGUGGAGCAUGUGGUUUAAUUCGAUGCAACGCGAAGAACCUUACCUACCCUU
rnacentral:rRNA from 1 species